AACGAACGCUGGCGGCAUGCCUAACACAUGCAAGUCGAACGAGACCUUCGGGUCUAGUGGCGCACGGGUGCGUAACGCGUGGGAACCUUCCCUUAGGUUCGGAAUAACUCCCCGAAAGGGGUGCUAAUACCGGAUAAUGUCUUCGGACCAAAGAUUUAUCGCCUUUGGAUGGGCCCGCGUUGGAUUAGCUAGUUGGUAGGGUAAAAGCCUACCAAGGCGACGAUCCAUAGCUGGUUUGAGAGGAUGAUCAGCCACACUGGGACUGAGACACGGCCGAGACUCCUACGCGAGGCAGGAGAGGGGAAUAGUGGACAAUGGGCGAAAGCAUGAUCCAGCAAUGACGCGUGAGUGAUGAAGGCCUUAGGGUAGUAAAGCGCUUUUACCCGGGAUGAUAAUGACAGUACCGGGAGAAUAAGCUCCGGCUAACUCCGUG
rnacentral:rRNA from 1 species